rnacentral:rRNA from 1 species
UACGGAGGAUGCAAGCGUUAUCCGGAAUUAUUGGGCGUAAAGCGUCCGCAGGCGGCACUUCAAGUCUGCUGUCAAAGACCGGGGCUUAACCCUGGAAAGGCAGUGGAAACUGAAGCGCUAGAGUGUGGCAGGGGUAGAGGGAAUUCCCGGUGUAGCGGUGAAAUGCGUAGAGAUCGGGAAGAACAUCGGUGGCGAAAGCGCUCUACUGGGCCAUAACUGACACUCAGGGACGAAAGCUAGGGGAGCGAAUGGG